UGGGAGGGGGCGGGAGGGGGCUUACCCCCCCAUAUUUAGGGGGAUCCUUUCCCCGGCAUGACACCACAAUAUAUUUGUUCAAUGGUUGCUUAUGGUUGAGUAUAUGUAUGUUAUAACCAUCAUCUGUAUCAUUUAAUCACAGUUACAUGGUAUAUUAAGACCUCAUUUGAUAAAUAAAAUUACUUUAUAUAUAUAAUUAUAACUUAAUAAUGAUUUUCAUGAUAUGCAAUAUAUACUGAUGAAAGUAUUACUUCUACUCUUUUAUACACGUUAGGGCCAAUGUAUAAAAUUCGCACUAGGGCCUCCAAAAUAUUAGGGCCGGCCCAGAUCUGCUAGAACAGUUUUUAUUCUCCUUCCAGUAUUUUGUAGUACCUAUGAAUUGGCCCUUUUACAAAUCUCUUAUCAUAGUUUUUCAUGUGAAACUGAAUGCAGAGGCUGGUACUUCAGCAUAUCGUCCAAAGACCUUUUCGAAGAAGAAGGCAAGAGUCAAUUGAGGAGGAAAGGGAUGAAGAGGUUGAGAAGACUGAAAUGAUGGGAAGCUUCUUGAAAAAUGGCCCCUUGCAUAUGGGCCUUUGGAGAGUGUCACAGAUUAGUACGUUGCUCUGUCUAAAUUGGUACCGUGUGGUAUGAAGCAACUGAAUGUUGCUCUUCCUCUGCUGGCAAUGCUGCAUACCCCGCGAACAUGGAGGCUGAAACGAGUGAUGAUGGCUUGAUUUGUUGAAUGAAGGAGCAGAUUAUAUACGUCUUGAAGAAAGAAAGACAGGGAAGCAAGAAGAUUGUCGUGUGACUGCAGGUGGUGUGCAUAUAUAUCUGAAGAUGGUACAGAAUCUACCAGUUGUGACUGCAACCAGCUGAAUCUCAACUCGUGCGACGACCACCAUGACGAUGGUGGUCAUGGACCGAUGACGACAGGGAUGGCGAGAAGUAGCUCUGUUUCCCCCCAGGCUGGUAGGAAAAGAAAGAGAAUUCAUAGGCCAUGUAUGCUGUAGUUGCUUUCAUGUGUGACAAAAGGGAAGAAAACAGGAGCAAUCCAGAAGGAAUAAGCAGAAUGUGCAGCAACAUGUACAGUAGAGGCCAGUCCUCCUCCCAUCCGUUCCCAUCAUCAUCAUGUCAUGUGUAUGCCACAAGCAAAAGGCAUGUCCUAAACUAGUACUCCCUCCGUUCAGAAUUACUUGUCGCAGAAAUGGAUGUAUCUAGACGUAUUUUAGUUUUAGAUACAUCCAUUUCUGAGACAAGUAAUUCCGAACGGAGGGAGUACACUGGACCAGACUUAUGUGUGUGUGUGUGUAACACAAGUAGACAAGCAAAGGAACAGGUAGUGUGCUUACCAGUGAAGGGAUAAAAGGCAUCUAUAUGGAUACUGGUGAUGCAGCAUCACCCAUAUUUAUUCAUGAUGUGGAUUGUGACACUGUGAGAGCUUUUCAAAGAAAAAGGAAGGAGAAAAUGAUGGGAAGAGGUCAAGAGGAGUGGUGUGGACAUGCAACUAACUGUAUCAUGUAUCAGGCAGGACAGACAGCAGCAAAAGCAAUUCAGCCUUGAGCAAAAGCAAGAAGCUGUAUGUGAAGAUUUUAGCAGCAGGUAGAGGUAGGGACUGCACACCAUAUGUACUACAGAAUUGUUGUUACACUUAGAUACAUACAGAGAGUCCUAAUUGUUACGGGCAUGAUUUGUUUUACUUUUUGCUGGACAAACAAGAUCAACUUCUUUUUGUUGGUUGGUGGGGUGAUGUUAUCUGAUUGCUGAUUGGGGACA